UGCUACAAUGGCGUAACAAAGGGAAGCUAGCCGGUGACGGUGCGCGAAUCCCAAAAUAACGUCUCAGUUCGGAUUGUAGUCUGCAACCCGACUCCGUGAAGCUGGAUUCGCUAGUAAUCGCGCAUCAGCCAUGGCGCGGUGAAUACGUUCCCGGGCCUUGUACACACCGCCCGUCAAGCCAUGGGAGCCGGGGGUACCUGAAGUCCGUAACCGAAAGGAUCGGCCUAGGGUAAAACUGGUGACUGGGGCUAAGUCGUAACAAGGUACC
rnacentral:rRNA from 1 species